rnacentral:misc_RNA from 1 species
ACUUAAUAAAAUCAACGUAGUCUGCUCGAUUUAAUUUCGCGCCAUUCAAACGUAUGUAAGACACUUCUGCAGGGUAUUCAACGCAGAAAAAACGUUUACGAAGAUAUUUUCAUCUAUAUCGAGCAGCGAUUCGUCGCGGAAUCAAGCUUAAUUUGUUUGUGUCCUUGCCAUCAAGGAAAUAAAGAAGUUGUCAAAAAAUGGCAAGCUCAGGUGCAGCAAAAGUUCCAAAAAUUAAAUUAAACAGUGGUUAUGAGAUGCCAAUGAUUGGUCUUGGAACAUGGAAAUUGUGGAACACUUUCCAUAAACCAGAAAAAGUUGAACCAGCUCUCAAAAAAUCAUUGAGCCUUUUGGGAUUAGAUUAUGUAGAUCUUUAUCUCUUCCACUGGCCUAUCUCAUUUAUUGAUAAAGAUAGUGAACUCUUUCCAAAAGAUGAGGAUGGUAAGCACCUGUUCGAGGUAAUCGACCAUAUCGAUACCUGGCGGGAGAUGGAAAAAUGUGUCGAGCUUGGACUAGUCCGCUCGAUUGGUUUGUCAAACUUCAACAGUCGACAAAUUCAACAUAUUAUGGAUAAUUCGAAAAUCAAACCAGUAGUCAAUCAGGUGGAGUGUCAUCCUUAUUUGAAUCAGAAACGGUUGAUCGAGUUCUGCAAACAAAAAGACAUUGUGGUGACCGCCUACAGUCCGCUUGGCUCGCCUGAUCGUCCAUGGGCUAAACCAGAUGAUCCGAACCUAUUGGAAGAACCAAGAAUCAAAUCAGUCGCCCAGCUCUAUAGAAAGACAUCUGCGCAGAUUUUAAUUCGCUAUCAAAUUGAUCGUGGGGUUGCCGUCAUCCCGAAAUCAGUCAACAAAUCUCGCAUAGAAGAAAACUUUACUAUUUUUGAUUUCAGCCUUCAAGCAAAAGAAAUGGAGAACCUAUCCUGGCUAGAUGAAGAAGAUAACCGUUGCCAUGAAUAUAGAAAACCUCUAAAUGUUUCAGAAACGUUGCUUCUUGUUAAGUAUAAAGGUUUUGAAAUUUUCUUUUUUAUUGUUUAAUCAUGAAAUAUUUUGUACGUUAUCGUAAGGAAAACAAGUCCGUUUAUCUACAAAGAAUAGAAAAAUUACGGAAAAUCAACGCGAAAAUCAUCGCCUGUAAAAUCAAAAAAAAAGAAAAAGAGGAGUUAUCACUCCUUUGGGCCUUGUACCAUCAGAGCUGACAAAUUUAUUUCUAAACGUUGACAUUGAAUUGUGAUCACAAUUCUUAUGGAAACUGUUGGGCUGCGCUUGGCUGGUAGCGCUUUUACCGUUUCCCACUAAUUGGAUAAAGCAACAAGAAAACGUAGUCCACUCGAAUGAACUUGUUCCAGACGUUUGCAUCUCGAGACAUGCAUAGAAUUUUGUUUAUUGUACAGCAGGAAGCGACUGGAAUAGGAAGUAUUAUUUACAAUUUCUAGCGCUACUACCUCAAGUUAUUUAUAUUUACUGACGAUGGCCAGUUCAGGAGCAGCAAAGGUCCCAAAAGUCAAGUUAAACAAUGGCUACACUAUACCCAUGAUUGGCCUUGGAACAUGGAGGUUGAGUGGCAUUUUCAAAUUUAGAAAACAGUCGGCAGAUUCAACAUGUCCUGGAAAAUUCUAAAAUCAAACCCGUAGUCAAUCAGGUGGAAUGUCAUCCCUACUUCAAUCAGAAAAAGUUGAUCGAGUUUUGCAGGAAAAAAGACAUAGUAAUCACCGCCUACAGCCCACUUGGUUCUCCUGCACGUCCUUGGGCUAAAGCAGAAGAUCCACAUUUAAUGGAAGAAUCGAAAAUCAAAUCCG